rnacentral:lncRNA from 1 species
GACAGGUCUGGUUCCCUCAAGGCGCUGUCUCACGGGAACGCAGUGAAAAUACAGAGGGAGACCGAAGAGAGGAAGGGGAGGGAAAGGGGAGGGAGAAGAGAGGCAGAGAAGUUUGAGAGAUGACCCCUGAUGCAGUCAGGCAGCGAGGGUGUCCCCCGCCCCAAGAACGGAGCGUCUCUUCACAGGGACCAGAAGCGCGGGCUGGCUCAGGAGCAAGUACAACUUCAUCGCAGAGGUGGUGGAGAAGGUGGCGCCGUCAGUGGUCCACUUACAGCUGUUCAGCAGGUCACCUCUCAGCAACAAGGAUGUCCCUGCGUCCAGUGCCUCUGGGUUCAUAGUGUCUGAGGAUGGGCUCAUUGUUACUAAUGCCCAUGUCCUCACCAACCGGCAUCGGAUCCAGGUAGAGCUCCAGAAUGGGGUCCAG